rnacentral:rRNA from 1 species
GAUGAACGCUGGCGGCGUGCCUAAUACAUGCAAGUCGAGCGAACAGACGAGGAGCUUGCUCCUCUGUCGUUAGCGGCGGACGGGUGAGUAACACGUGGAUAACCUACCUGUCAGACUGGGAUAACUUCGGGAAACCGGCGCUAAUCCCGGAUAAUCUAUUGAACCGCAUUGUUCAAUGGUGAAAUUCGGUUUUUCUGUCACUUAUAGCUGGAUCCGGGCCGUAUUAGCUGGUUGGUAAGGUAACGGCUUACCAAGGCAAGUAUGCGUGUCCGACCUGCGUGACGGAUCGGCCACAUGGGAAGGUAGACACGGUCAAUAGUACUAAGAUACGGAGCAGUCGGGAAUGGGCGGCAACGGUCGAAAGCUUGACGGAGCAGCGCGGCGCGAGAGAUGAAGGUCUUCGGAUCGUAAAACUGUGCUAUGAGGUGUGAACAACUGUGGAAGGUACUAUGGACGUCGUGACGGUACUUGAUCAGAAAGCAACGGCUAACUACGUG